GAAUAUGUCUCUUUUGUGGUAGUUUUAUAUAUUGGUUAAUUUGUUUUCCUAAUUAUUGUAAUUGAAUAUAAAGAUGUCUCUUCAGAAAAGUCUUGAAUAUCCAAAAGAAAGAAACAAUUGUCAUGAACUUUUGUGCUUUUUUGUUUAGUGUUUGUAAAAGGGAGAUACCAAAGGGCUAUUUAAAAUCAUAUGUCGAAAACAAACUGACAAUGACAUCGGGACACGUAAAACGACCAAACAAAAAACAACAGUAAACAAAACACUACAUAGAAAACUAAACAGUGAACAACACGAAACCCAACUAUAAAUCGGGGUGAUCUCAUGUGUUUCUGCUCCACUAGAAUCACCCCGUCGUGUCGCUAUAUAUAUAUAUUUAUAUAUUUAUAAACAAGUCUAAAUUGAAAACUACGUUAAAUCCUAUGAUUGCGUUUGAUAAAAACCGCAAUUUUUAUACGUGUGCAUGUAAAACAAAUUUCGUUGUAGAAGGGUCUAAAUACAGCACAAACAACAUUUUCUAAAAGACCAAAAAAAGUGAAAAAGUAUAUUUAAACAAAACGCAUUUGACUAACAGGUCGAACAACUGAUGUUCUUUAACCCUGCUGACUGCCAUUGGCGAUUGCCAAAUAAAACUAAUCAUAAGAUGUGCAAGUCAGACCCGGUGAUAAGUAUAAUUCGGUAGGUAAAAUUCUAAAACAAAGAGAACGGGAUUGUGGUUGCGACAAUGGAACACAAAUUGUAAGUUGCA
rnacentral:lncRNA from 1 species